UCGUCGGGCCGCCGGAAGCGUCGAGCGCGCAGCGGCGGACGACAGCCAAUCGGGAGGCGCCAGUUCCGGUCGCUAGGCAUGCUGGUCUUUCGCACGCGGGCCUUUUCUCGUCUUCUGCAACCACGUUGGUGUCUGCGCUAGCGUUGGUGUAUUUUUCAGUUAUAAAAGCGGUAUAUGCCACCUUUAAAAGCGCUUAUACUUCUUUCAUCGUUUACCACAAGGCCGUGUCUGCUGUGCCCGGGGCACAGCAGACGAAAGGUGCCCGAAAUGUCUACGUUCACCCAUGACGUCACAUCCGCUAUAACCCAUGAUGUCACAUCCGCUCAUUUCCAUGGCGGCCGUCUUACGGAGCCGGCUGCGCUGCGAAACGGUCCGUAUUCCGUGCCCACUUAGAGCACUGAACAUCCCACGUCUUGGUUUGACUUCCUGGUACAGGAUACUUGCACUUAGCAUGGAGUGAUGAAGCAGAGCAGUGUACUUUUAUUAAAUGUGCAGAUUUUAGCAGUAUAACAGCCGUUCAUUAAAAAAACGUGUGCUGAAAAUAAAGUAUACUUACCCACA